AUGCACGCUGGCGGCGUGCCUCAUCCAUGCAAGUCGCGCGCACAGACGAGGAGCUUGCUCCUCUGACGUUAGCGGCGGACGGGUGAGUAACACGUGGAUAACCUACCUAUAAGACUGGGAUAACUUCGGGAAACCGGAGCUAAUACCGGAUAAUAUAUUGAACCGCAUGGUUCAAUAGUGAAAGACGGUUUUGCUGUCACUUAUAGAUGGAUCCGCGCCGCAUUAGCUAGUUGGUAAGGUAACGGCUUACCAAGGCAACGAUGCGUAGCCGACCUGAGAGGGUGAUCGGCCACACCGGAACUGAGACACGGUCCAGACUCCUACGGGAGGCAGCAGUAGGGAAUCUUCCGCAAUGGGCGAAAGCUUGACGGAGCAACGCCGCGUGAGUGAUGAAGGUCUUCGGAUCGUAAAACUCUGUUAUUAGGGAAGAACAAAUGUGUAAGUAACUAUGCACGUCUUGACGGUACCUAAUCAGAAAGCCACGGCUAACUACGUG
rnacentral:rRNA from 1 species